rnacentral:rRNA from 1 species
GACGAACGCUGGCGGCGCGCCUAACACAUGCAAGUCGAACGAGCGAGAGAGAGCUUGCUUUCUCGAGCGAGUGGCGAACGGGUGAGUAACGCGUGAGGAACCUGCCUCAAAGAGGGGGACAACAGUUGGAAACGACUGCUAAUACCGCAUAAGCCCACGGGUCGGCAUCGACCAGAGGGAAAAGGAGCAAUCCGCUUUGAGAUGGCCUCGCGUCCGAUUAGCUAGUUGGUGAGGUAACGGCCCACCAAGGCGACGAUCGGUAGCCGGACUGAGAGGUUGAACGGCCACAUUGGGACUGAGACACGGCCCAGACUCCUACGGGAGGCAGCAGUGGGGAAUAUUGCACAAUGGGGGAAACCCUGAUGCAGCGACGCCGCGUGGAGGAAGAAGGUCUUCGGAUUGUAAACUCCUGUUGUUGGGGAAGAUAAUGACGGUACCCAACAAGGAAGUGACGGCUAACUACGUGCCAGCAGCCGCGGUAAAACGUAGGUCACAAGCGUUGUCCGGAAUUACUGGGUGUAAAGGGAGCGCAGGCGGGAAGACAAGUUGGAAGUGAAAUCUAUGGGCUCAACCCAUAAACUGCUUUCAAAACUGUUUUUCUUGAGUAGUGCAGAGGUAGGCGGAAUUCCCGGUGUAGCGGUGGAAUGCGUAGAUAUCGGGAGGAACACCAGUGGCGAAGGCGGCCUACUGGGCACCAACUUGACGCUGAGGCUCGAAAGUGUGGGUAGCAAACAGG